AGACUUCCGAUUCAGGGAAGGAUGAGAAGCUUCGACUAAGGUUCGAUUCGAGCGUAGCGAGAAAGCGUUGCCGCAGGCAACGACCCGAAGGGCGAGGCGCAACGCGCCGAGUAAUCCUUCCCCCACCACCA
rnacentral:sRNA from 1 species